UUCACUGCCCGGUGAUGGAAACCACCCAAGAACAUCAAGGUUGUGGCAGCUGAACCAAGCUGAAGCCCUCCUUGGGUCAUCAGGUGGUAAUGGGGACAAGAUCUGUAAAACAGAGGCCUGGACUAGAUGAUCCCUAAAACCCUCCCGCCUCAACAACCAUUCGCUGCUAGUGUCUUAUUCGCAUCCUCUUCACACCUGAGUGCAACGGCCACCACACACCCUCAACAAACGUUGUUGAGCACCUGACGGGGUCUCGGCACAUCACCAGAGCCCAACCUGCUGACCGAGUGAUGGUGGUAACCCAGGAAGUUCCUCCCUCAGCCUCUCCACAGCCCUUCCUGUGGGGUGUUUGGGGCCCAGCUGCAACUCCAGCCCUCAUUCCACACUCCACCUUCAGUCCCUGCUUGCCCCGGGCCAUCUUACAGUGUAAAGUGACCAUGAGAGAGGACUGCCAAGCGGGUGAGAGGGCAGGUUCUGUGUCAGUCCCCUUAGGUUUGACUGUGCUUCUUCUAUUACCUUGGAUGUGUUACUUCUAUAUUUUAUUCUACAAGUUUUAUGA